AUGGGUUUUGGUCCAAACGGCGUAACAGCAUCUUGUUAUUUUCGCCCGAGGAUGGGACUGCGGCCGAUCAGGCUGUUGGUGGGGUAAAGGCCCACCAAACCAGUAACCGGUACGGGCUUUGAGAGAAGGAGCCCGGAGAUGGACACUGAGACAAGGGUCCAGGUCCUACGGGGCGCAGCAGGCGCGAAACCUUCGCAAUGCGCGCAAGCGCGACGAGGUUAUUCUGAGUGAUUUCCGCUGAGGAAAUCUUUUCUUAGAUCUAAAAAGUCUGGGGAAUAAGGGGAGGGCAAGUCUGGUGUCAGCCGCCGCGGUAAUACCAGCUCCUCGAGUGGUCAGGGCGUUUAUUGGGCCUAAAGCAUCCGUAGCCUGCUCAGUAGGUCUCCUGUUAAAUCCAACGGCUCAACCGUUGGUCUGCAGGAGAUACCGCUGGGCUAGGAGGCGGGAGAGGCGGACGGUACUCCGAGGGUAGGGGUAAAAUCCUUUGAUCCCCGGAAGACCACCAGUGGCGAAGGCGGUCCGCCAGAACGCGCUCGACGGUGAGGGAUGAAAGCUGGGGGAGCGAACCGGAUUAGAUACCCGGGUAGUCCCAGCUGUAAACGAUGCGAGCUAGGUGACACGACGCCUUCGGGGCAUCGUGGUGCCGCAGGGAAGCCGUUA
rnacentral:rRNA from 1 species